UUGAAAACCAAAAACGUCCUUGAAGAAAACACCAGAAAUCAGUGCUUUAGAUCACACUGAGUUGUUUGCUAUUGGUCACCCACUUGGAAUGUUCUGGGAACGCUAACUACUUUGGAUUGGAUAUAUUCAGAAAAGAAACAAAUCUUUGUCUGAUCAGAUGUAUUUGGAGAAAACAAAAAACCCACAACCCAAAGGAUGGGAUUUCACAUCUCAAGACAUCUCCCAGUUUAUCCAUCUUUGCCAUGUGCUUGGGGAAGAAUGGCAAUGCGAAAGUGUGAGCUUCCCGUCCCAGCUUAUUAGAAGCCCACAGCUGUUUUUAAAAAAUCUACCUUUCCGGCUGGGUGCAGUGGCUCACACCUGUAAUCC
rnacentral:lncRNA from 1 species